rnacentral:rRNA from 1 species
UACGAAGGGGGCUAGCGUUGCUCGGAAUUACUGGGCGUAAAGCGCACGUAGGCGGAUUGUUAAGUCGGGGGUGAAAUCCUGGAGCUCAACUCCAGAACUGCCUUUGAUACUGGGAGGCUUGAGUCCGGGAGAGGUGAGUGGAACUGCGAGUGUAGAGGUGAAAUGCGUAGAUAUUCGCAAGAACACCAGUGGCGAAGGCGGCUCACUGGCCCAGCACUGACGCUGAGGUGCGAAAGCGUGGGGAGCAAACAGG